AAUUUGACUCAACACGGGAAAACUUACCAGGUCCGAACAUAAGCGUGUAAGACAGAUUGAUAGCUCUUUCUCGAAUCUAUGGGUGGUGGUGCAUGGCCGUUCUUAGUUCGUGGAGUGAUUUGUAGCAAGAAAUGAAUAAAUGAAUGCGUUAAAGAACUAGUGAAAGAAUGAUUGAAUGCAUGUUUAUUGAAGUAAGCAUCGCUGAAGUGUAUGCUAUUUCCAAUAGGAAGACAAGAAACUAGGACGAGGAAGAAGGUAAUGACAAUAUUUUGGGCUUGAAAGAAGAUUAUUAUUAUUAUUAUUAUUAUUAUUAUUAUUAUUAUGUACUUCGUCUUGCUUUUUAAGUAAGAGUUAUACGAAGGAACGCCUUAGCUUCUAUUAUAGCAUAAAUUUGCAGUGUU
rnacentral:ncRNA from 1 species